rnacentral:miRNA from 1 species
AACUUUGAAAUUUGAUCUGCU